rnacentral:lncRNA from 1 species
AAGGGUCUCAAAAUUGAUUUGCCUGAUUCAUUUCUUAUGCCUCAUGCUUUGAAUUUCUUAUUUGUUGAAUUUUUCUAGAUCAAAAUUGCCUAUAACACUCUGAAUAAAAUCUGGAGUGUUAAUGAUUUGAUCAUCAAAUAUGUUGUUGAGGAAGAAAAGCUUAAGAGAGAAAAGAGUGAGAGUGCCCUUCUUUCCUUCCAAUCCAAAUCCCAUUCUAGCA